rnacentral:tRNA from 1 species
AGUGGGCUAGGUUAUUUAGACUAUUUGUCUUCAAAACAAAGGGAGGGUUUGUCCGUUCGCUG